AUUGAACGCUGGCGGCAUGCUUUACACAUGCAAGUCGAACGGCAGCGCGGGCUUCGGCCUGGCGGCGAGUGGCGAACGGGUGAGUAAUGCAUCGGAACGUGCCCAGUAGUGGGGGAUAGCCCGGCGAAAGCCGGAUUAAUACUGCAUACGACCUGAGGGUGAAAGCGGGGGAGCGAAAGGCCUCGCGCUAUUGGAGGGGCCGAUGUCGGAUUAGCUAGUUGGUGGGGUAAAGGCUUACCAAGGCGACGAUCCGUAGCUGGUCUGAGAGGACGACCAGCCACACUGGGACUGAGACACGGCCCAGACUCCUACGGGAGGCAGCAGUGGGGAAUUUUGGACAAUGGGGGCAACCCUGAUCCAGCCAUGCCGCGUGCGGGAAGAAGGCCUUCGGGUUGUAAACCGCUUUUGUUCGGGAAGAAAUCCUCUGGGCUAAUACCCCGGGGGGAUGACGGUACCGGAAGAAUAAGCACCGGCUAACUACGUG
rnacentral:rRNA from 1 species